rnacentral:rRNA from 1 species
UACAGAGGUCCCGAGCGUUGUUCGGAUUCAUUGGGCGUAAAGGGUGCGUAGGCGGCGGGGCAAGUCUGAUGUGAAAUCCCGGGGCUCAACCCCGGAACUGCACUUGAUACUGCUUUGCUAGAGUACUGGAGAGGAGAUUGGAAUUUACGGUGUAGCAGUGAAAUGCGUAGAUAUCGUAAGGAAGACCAGUGGCGAAGGCGAAUCUCUGGACAGUUACUGACGCUGAGGCACGAAGGCCAGGGGAGCAAACGGG